GACGAACGCUGGCGGCGUGCUUAACACAUGCAGGUCGAACGGAAAGGCCCUGCUUUUGUGGGGUGCUCGAGUGGCGAACGGGUGAGUAACACGUGAGUAACCUGCCCUUGACUUUGGGAUAACUUCAGGAAACUGGGGCUAAUACCGGAUAGGUGCUCCUGCUGCAUGGUGGGGGUUGGAAAGUUUCGGCGGUUGGGGAUGGACUCGCGGCUUAUCAGCUUGUUGGUGGGGUAGUGGCUUACCAAGGCUUUGACGGGUAGCCGGCCUGAGAGGGUGACCGGCCACAUUGGGACUGAGAUACGGCCCAGACUCCUACGGGAGGCAGCAGUGGGGAAUAUUGCACAAUGGGCGGAAGCCUGAUGCAGCAACGCCGCGUGCGGGAUGACGGCCUUCGGGUUGUAAACCGCUUUCGCCUGUGACGAAGCGUGAGUGACGGUAAUGGGUAAAGAAGCACCGGCUAACUACGUG
rnacentral:rRNA from 1 species